UGGGGAAUAUUGCACAAUGGGCGCAAGCCUGAUGCAGCCAUGCCGCGUGUGUGAAGAAGGCCUUCGGGUUGUAAAGCACUUUCAGCGAGGAGGAAGGGUAGUGUGUUAAUAGCACAUUGCAUUGACGUUACUCGCAGAAGAAGCACCGGCUAACUCCGUGCCAGCAGCCGCGGUAAUACGGAGGGUGCAAGCGUUAAUCGGAAUUACUGGGCGUAAAGCGCACGCAGGCGGUUUGUUAAGUCAGAUGUGAAAUCCCCGCGCUUAACGUGGGAACUGCAUUUGAAACUGGCAAGCUAGAGUCUUGUAGAGGGGGGUAGAAUUCCCAGGUGUAGCGGUGAAAUGCGUAGAGAUCUGGAGGAAUACCGGUGGCGAAGGCGGCCCCCCUGGACAAAGACUGACGCUCAGGUGCG
rnacentral:rRNA from 1 species